ensembl:lncRNA
CCUGAUAGCAAACAAUCUUUCUUAAAGUUGUCACAUGACUAUUAUGGAAAUCGCAACAGGAAGAGAAAGUACGGAAAAGCUCAAGAAUUUAAAAAAAAGGAGGAACAACCUGAUGUCAUCACAAGCAACUACAGAGGCAUAAAAAGAAAGGUGAAGCAAGGAGAAAGUAUUCUACUGGUUCAUCCACAUGAAGCGACGAUCUUUUCAUCAAUCACUGAGCAGUCAGGCUGUGGGUAUGGCCAACGCACAGUGUGCAGUUCUGCUCCUGACUUUAGCUAUAGCAGUGCAGGAGUGUAAUGGGAUACCAGAAAGAACCAGGUGCACUUCACAACCACCAUGUUUUGACCUACUAAUUGUCGAGAGAAUGGCCCAGCGUGUCAGCAAGGAUGUGCCAGGUGCAGACAGUGACAACAUUUUAUUAAAGAGCAAAACGUAUGAUAAAAUUCGCCAAAAGAAGUACCUCCACAGUUGUGUCCUAGAAAAAAUCUUUGAAUUCUAUGAGAAUGUCCUAUCCAGUGACCAGUAUAUUCAAAACGAUGGUCGUGAACUGAUCUACACCUUGGACAGAGUGAGAAAUUGCACUUAUAAAGUGAAGAGAUGCGAGAUGUUGUAUCAAAAGGCUAACCACCAAGCUGACUUAGAGAUUGCCGAAUCGGAUAUGAGUGCACAGGAGGUGGCCAUCAUUCAGCUACAAAAACUUAACCACGCUAGUGAAAGAGACCCAUAGGGGGCGCUACACACCGGUCUCCAGGACAGCAGUUUUCAGGUGUUUCAGGUCAAUCAGACCAAAGCAACAUGAGAUGAAUGUUGAGGAAAUUUUACUCGGGCAGCAUUUGGGAAUUUUAAUUUUAAUUCAUUAUCAUUCUACAAGUUACUACCUUUGUGGACAAUAAAACUACUAGGCCUCACACAUUCGAGCUCAAAUAAAAAUGAACCGAAGGCUUUUCUCAAAACUUUUCUGAAACUGUA